CCCGACUUUAUGGAAGGGUGGUAUUUAUUAGACUGAAGCCAAUAUUCCUUGUGUCUAUUGCGGUGAUUCAUAAUAACUGAUCGAAUCUCUUUUUGAGAUAAAUCAUUCAAGUUUCUGCCCUAUCAGCUUUCGAUGGUAGUGUAUUGGACUACCAUGGCAGUAACGGGUAACGAAGAAUUAGGUUUCGAUUUCGGAGAGGGAGCAUGAGAAACGGCUACCACAUCUAAGGAAGGCAGCAGGCGCGUAAAUUACCCAAUCCUGACUCAGGGAGGUAGUGACAAGAAAUAGCAAACCGGGAACCUCAUGGUUUCACGGUAUUGCAAUGAGAACAAUUUAAAACCCUUAGCGAGAAUCAAGUGGAGGACAAGUCUGGUGCCAGCACCCGCGGUAAUUCCAGCUCCACUAGCGUAUAUUAAAGUUGUUGCAGUUAAAAAGCUCGUAGUUGAACCUCUGUCUGGGGCUAGUUUUGGCUUUGGUCAGGCUAGUUCUAGGCAUCCGCCUACAAGACUUAGAGGGCAUUCAGUUGUUCACUAGGAGGAGUAGGCAUUUUACUUUGAAAAAAUUAGGGUGUUUAAGGCAGGCAAUCGCCCGCAUAUAUUAGCAUGGAAUAAUAGAAUAGGACACUUUUCCAUUUCGUUGGUUAUUGGAAUCGUGUAAUGAUUAAUAGGGACAGUUGUGGGCAUUUGUAUUUAAUUGUCAGAGGUGAAAUUCUUGGAUUUAUUAAAGACAAACUAACGCGAAAGCAUUUGCCAAGGAUGUUUUCAUUAAUCAAGAACGAAAGUUAGGGGAUCAAAGACGAUCAGAUACCGUCCUAGUCUUAACUAUAAACUAUUCCGACUCAAUGUUUGACUGGCUUAUAUAACCAGUUGAGCGUUGUAUGAGAAAUCAAAGUCUUUAGGUUCUGGGGGGAGUAUGGUUGCAAAGCUGAAACUUAAAGGAAUUGACGGAAGAGCACAACCAGGAGUGGAUUCUGCGGCUUAAUUUGACUCAACACGGGGAAACUUACCAGGUUAAAACAUUAGUGGGAUUGACAGUUUGAGAGCGCUUUCUUGAUUGGUUGGGUGGUGGUGCAUGGCCGUUCUUAGUUGGUGGAGUGAUUUGUCUGCUUAAUUGCGUUAACGAACGAGACCUUAACCUGCUUACUAGACUGGCGAUCAUCAAUCGUUAGCUCUUCUUAGAGGGACUUUGGUUGUUUUAACUCCAAGGAAGUUUGAGGCAAUAACAGGUCUGUGAUGCCCUUAGAUAUCCUGGGCCGCACGCGUCA
rnacentral:rRNA from 1 species